GGCCUGGUAGCUCAACCGGAUAGAGCAACUGCCUUCUAAGCAGUAGGUAGACAGUUCGAGUCUGUCCCAGGCUGCCA
rnacentral:tRNA from 2 species